CUACGGGUUGCAGCAGUGAGGAAUAUUGCACAAUGGGGGGAACCCUGAUGCAGCAACGCCGCGUGGAGGAUGACGCAUUUCGGUGUGUAAACUCCUUUUAUAUGUCAAGAAAAUGACGGUAGCAUAUGAAUAAGCGCCGGCUAACUCCGUGCCAGCAGCCGCGGUAAUACGGAGGGCGCAAGCGUUACUCGGAAUCACUGGGCGUAAAGGACGCGUAGGCGGGUUGAAAAGUCAGGUGUGAAAGCCUACAGCUUAACUGUAGAACUGCACUUGAAACUCUCAACCUAGAGUAUGGGAGGGGCAGAUGGAAUUAGUGGUGUAGGGGUAAAAUCCGUAGAUAUCACUAGGAAUACCUAAAGCGAAGGCGAUCUGCUGGAACAUUACUGACGCUAAGGUGUGAAAGCGUGGGGAGCAAACAGGAUUAGAUACCCCCGUAGUC
rnacentral:rRNA from 1 species